rnacentral:rRNA from 1 species
AGUGAACGCUGGCGGUAGGCCUAACACAUGCAAGUCGAACGGCAGCACAGUAAGAGCUUGCUCUUACGGGUGGCGAGUGGCGGACGGGUGAGGAAUACAUCGGAAUCUACUUUUUCGUGGGGGAUAACGUAGGGAAACUUACGCUAAUACCGCAUACGACCUACGGGUGAAAGCAGGGGAUCUUCGGACCUUGCGCGAUUGAAUGAGCCGAUGUCGGAUUAGCUAGUUGGCGGGGUAAAGGCCCACCAAGGCGACGAUCCGUAGCUGGUCUGAGAGGAUGAGCAGCCACACUGGAACUGAGACACGGUCCAGACUCCUACGGGAGGCAGCAGUGGGGAAUAUUGGACAAUGGGCGCAAGCCUGAUCCAGCCAUACCGCGUGGGUGAAGAAGGCCUUCGGGUUGUAAAGCCCUUUUGUUGGGAAAGAAAAGCAGCAGGUUAAUACCCCGCUGUUCUGACGGUACCCAAAGAAUAAGCACCGGCUAACUUCG